UGGACAAGUCGCCACCUCAUCGCAGAAUUAUUGAUGCUAAAUAUGCUAAUUAUCUUUCCAUUCCAGGGUCAAAUGUAACGAUUACGAGGGCAUCGUGAUGCGGGUCAUUCUCUCAAUGAUGCAGUCGGGCUCCAACACAGCGUGAAAGGUCAAAUGUAACGAUUACGGGGGCAUCGUGAUGCGGGUCAUUCUCUCAAUGAUGCAGUCGGGCUCCACAGCGUGAAGGGUCAAAUCUAACGAUUACGAGGGCAUCGUGAUGCGGUGCAUUCUCACAAUGAUGCAGUCGGGCUCCAACACAGCGUGAAGUCACUCGUGUCUCAGCUUCCACUGUUGCCUUUCCCUCCUGGACCUUGUUUGUCCUCGCCGAUCCUUAACCCCUGUUUUGGAGUUCCGGACUUCUCCUUCCUGCCUACGACCCCGCUCGGACCUCGGACCUCUUGGCUUCUUCCCCUCGGAUUCGGACGCUGUACAUCCACUUAAACAAACCUUACGCUGUGCUUUUAGUGAUUCGUCCUUGGCGAGGGGCGGACCUUGAGGCCCACCUGUUUGCAAUUAGCACACCGGUAUUUAGGCUCAUCACUGUCAGCUUGGCUUCGCCGGUUAUUGUCUCCGGUACUCCUGUCGUGCAUGCACCUGCUUCACCAGACCGGGUAUGUUUUCGCUACUUUGUCCUGAAUUCCCUAACCUCUUGUGUGUUUAUCUCCUAGUCCCCCUGAGGUGAAAGGAUUACUUUUGUUGGACUCUUGCCCUACUCAGUGUGCCCUGGCCCUGUCUCCUGCCGAAAUCUGAGGAACCUAUUUCGGCCAGAUUUCAUGGUGUGCGUUUCUGCCCCAUCACCCUUAGUUAUCCUUUUUUGUCUAAUGAAAUGUUUUCAUUUUUAUAUAAUUCCACCUUGUCCCCCGUCUCUACAUCCUGGGGUCACACCCACUUGACUAAGACUUUAACAACUAUAGCUAAUAUAGACACUUACAAAAAGUCUGCGGGCUAUAGAGCGUUUUCCGUUCGGGCUCCAGUACUCUGGAAUGCCCUCCCGGUAACAGUUCGAGAUGCUACCUCAGUAGAAGCAUUUAAGUCUCAUCUUAAAACUCAUUUGUAUACUCUAGCCUUUAAAUAGACCUCCCUUUUAGACCAGUUGAUCUGCCGCUUCUUUUCUUUCUCCUAUGUCCCCCCCUCCCUUGUGGAGGGGGUCCGGUCCGAUGACCAUGGAUGAAGUACUGACUGUCCAGAGUCGAGACCCAGGAUGGACCGCUCGUCGGGACCCAGGAUGGACCGCUCGCCUGUAUCGGUUGGGGACAUCUCUACGCUGCUGAUCCGCUUCAGAUGGUUUCCUGUGGACGGGACUCUCGCUGCUGUCUUGGAGCCACUAUGGAUUGAACUUUCACAGUAUCAUGUUGGACCCGCUCGACAUCCAUUGCUUUCGGUCCCCUAGAGGGGGGGGGGGUUGCCCACAUCUGAGGUCCUCUCCAAGGUUUCUCAUAGUCAGCAUUGUCACUGGCGUCCCACUGGGUGUGAAUUCUCCCUGCCCACUGGGUGUGAGUUUUCCUUGCCCUUUUGUGGGUUCUUCCGAGGAUGUUGUAGUCAUAAUGAUUUGUGCAGUCCUUUGAGACAUUUGUGAUUUGGGGCUAUAUAAAUAAACAUUGAUUGAUUGAUUGAUUACAUCAUGUGUUGCCUUCACUAUAACACUAAUAUAAGACUUUUAAUUUCCAGACGGAUUUUUUUUUCUUGUAUUUUUGGUCCAAUAUGUCUCUUUGGACAUUUUGGGUUGCCGACUAGAGUCUAGAGU